rnacentral:rRNA from 1 species
UGGGGAAUAUUGCACAAUGGGCGCAAGCCUGAUGCAGCCAUGCCGCGUGUAUGAAGAAGGCCUUCGGGUUGUAAAGUACUUUCAGCGGGGAGGAAGGGAGUAAAGUUAAUACCUUUGCUCAUUGACGUUACCCGCAGAAGAAGCACCGGCUAACUCCGUGCCAGCAGCCGCGGUAAUACGGAGGGUGCAAGCGUUAAUCGGAAUUACUGGGCGUAAAGCGCACGCAGGCGGUUUGUUAAGUCAGAUGUGAAAUCCCCGGGCUCAACCUGGGAACUGCAUCUGAUACUGGCAAGCUUGAGUCUCGUAGAGGGGGGUAGAAUUCCAGGUGUAGCGGUGAAAUGCGUAGAGAUCUGGAGGAAUACCGGUGGCGAAGGCGGCCCCCUGGACGAAGUCUGACGCUCAGGUGCGAAAGGGUGGGGAGCAAACAGG